AUUGAACGCUAGCGGCAUGCUUUACACAUGCAAGUCGAACGAAUGGCGGACGGGUGAGUAAUAUCUGGGAACGUGCCUGGUAGCGGGGGAUAACUACUCGAAAGGGUAGCUAAUACCGCAUACCAUCGGAUCGGCCGAGAUGGGAUUAGCUAGUAGGUGGGGUAAAGGCUCACCUAGGCGACGAUCCCUAGCUGGUCUGAGAGGAUGACCAGCAACACUGGGACUGAGACACGGUCCAGACUCCUACGGGAGGCAGCAGUGGGGAAUAUGGCACAAUGGGCGCAAGCCUGAUGCAGCCAUGCCGCGUGUGUGAAGAAGGCCUUCGGGUUGUAAAGCACUUUCAGCGGGGAGGCGUUACUCGCAGAAGAAGCACCGGCUAACUCCGUGCCAGCAGCCGCGGUAAUAC
rnacentral:rRNA from 1 species